rnacentral:rRNA from 1 species
UAUGGAGGGUGCGAGCGUUAUCCGGAAUUACUGGGUUUAAAGGGUGCGUAGGCGGCCAGGUAAGUCAGGAGUGAAAGUUUGCGGCUCAACCGUAAAAUUGCUUUUGAUACUGCCAGGCUAGAAUUAGGAUGAGGUCAGCGGAAUGUGGCAUGUAGCGGUGAAAUGCAUAGAUAUGCCAUAGAACACCAAUUGCGAAGGCAGCUGGCUAGACCUGGAUUGACGCUGAGGCACGAAAGCGUGGGGAGCGAACAGG